rnacentral:misc_RNA from 1 species
UGGAGAGUAUUACAACUACAUUGACGAAUGGAAGCAGUUCAAUCAUCUGGCAACAGGAAAGUUGAGGUUGGUCACAUAUCCAAGUAUUUUUCGACCUUUUACGAGUAUGUAACAUCUACACAAUCAUCAAUAAAAGCCUCUUUAAAUUAAGAAACGUCAAUUUUAUCGGGUUAAAACCACCAAAAACCCUUAU